GCCAGGUGCGGUGGCACGUGCCUGUAGUCCUAGCUACUCGGGAGGCUGAGGUGGGAGGAUCACUUGAGCCCAGGAGUUCUGGACUGUAGUGCGCUAUGCCGGGUGUCCGCACAUGUGCUUUCAACCACUGAAGACCUACUAAGUUUGGCAUCAAUAUGGUGACCUCCCGGGAGCAGGCGACCACCAGGUUGCCUAAGGAGGGGUGAACUAGCCCAGGUCGGAAAUGGAGCAGGUCAAAACUCCCGUGCUGAUCAGCAGUGGGAUCGCGCCUGUGAACUGCCACUGCACUCCAGCCUGGGCAACAUAGUGAGACCCCGUCUCUU
ensembl:misc_RNA Metazoa_SRP Metazoan signal recognition particle RNA